rnacentral:rRNA from 1 species
UUGAACGCUGGCGGCAGGCCUAACACAUUCAAGUCGCGCGGAUGAAGGGAGCUUGCUCCUGGAUUCAGCGGCGGACGGGUGAGUAAUGCCUAGGAAUCUGCCUGGUAGUGGGGGAUAACGUCCGGAAACGGGCGCUAAUACCGCAUACGUCCUGAGGGAGAAAGUGGGGGAUCUUCGGACCUCACGCUAUCAGAUGAGCCUAGGUCGGAUUAGCUAGUUGGUGGGGUAAAGGCCUACCAAGGCGACGAUCCGUAACUGGUCUGAGAGGAUGAUCAGUCACACUGGAACUGAGACACGGUCCAGACUCCUACGGGAGGCAGCAGUGGGGAAUAUUGGACAAUGGGCGAAAGCAUGAUCCAGCCAUGCCGCGUGUGUGAAGAAGGUCUUCGGAUUGUAAAGCACUUUAAGUUGGGAGGAAGGGCAGUAAGUUAAUACCUUGCUGUUUUGACGUUACCAACAGAAUAAGCACCGGCUAACUUCGUG